rnacentral:tmRNA from 1 species
GGGGCUGACCGGUAUUGACAGCAAGAUGAAGGGGUUUGUAAGCAUGCCGAGCUAUCCGAUUGAUGCUCGUUAAUUCAAUGUCGGAAUCCAUAAUUGGCGAGUACAACUACGCUCUUGCCGCUUAAUCAUCCGAUAGGAGACUAAGCUAAUUCCGCACUAGGUGCGGAAGCGGGACAUCCCUCAGAAUCCCUGUCCUACGGAGUCUGAUCUAGGGGUGCUGGAAAGGUGGGAAUAGAAGGCCCUGCGCUGCGGGGGGCCUUUGAAAAUUUAGCAGAUAGGCCGAAGGUGGAGUGUUUGUCCUCAUCCUUUGGAUGAAAAUCAAGGAUAAACUAAGCAUGUAGAAAGCAUAUCAUUUCCUUGUCUGGACGCGGGUUCGAUUCCCGCCAGCUCCACAU